GGGCGCAUGGCCUAGUCUGGAUAAGGCACUGGCCUUCUAAGCCAGCAAUCGCGGGUUCGAAUCCCGCUGCGCCCG
rnacentral:tRNA from 1 species